GGAUAUUUUAAUAGAUUUGUUUUCCUAUAUAAAGGGGCCAUCAGAACCAAUAACGUCAAGCAAGUAAGUUGUUCAGUCAGCUGUGGUUGUACGUACGUAAAGAAGAAAAUGAGUGCUGCUGUUCCUAAGUUUUUGUACUUGGUUCUACUUCUGUGGGGAACUUUUUGUGCUUCGAUGAGUGGUGUUAGUCAUGGCAUGUAUGUUGAUGGUAGAAAUUAUGCUGAUAAUUAUUGCUCGUAUACAAGUUGGAGGGGUUGCGGCAGUUUCUUUGGAAAAGGCGGUAGCGAUUCUAAGAACGAUGAACAAAAUGUACAAGUUGGUAGGGGUUAUGGACAAGGUGGAGGUGAGGGUGGAGGUGUUGGUGAAACUGGUGUAGGCUAUGGUCAUGGUAGUGGAUUUGGUGCUGGGGUAAGGGUUGGGCACGAUGGAGGAGGAGGUGGAGGCGGCGGUGGAGGAGGAGGCGGAGGCGGCGGCGGUGGCUCAAGUCAUGGUGGAAUAGGUCAAGGUAGAGGGUUUGGUGCUGGCUUUGGUGUAGGCGGGGCUAAUGGAGGACAGGGGGGUGGGGGAGGAGGAGGUGGCGGUGAAGGGGAAGGAGUUGGAAAUGAAGGACAAGGACGUGGCAGUGGUUUUGGCUCAGGUGGAGGAGUGGGAGGCAUAGGAGGAGGUGGAGGUGAAGGUGAAGGAAUUGGCAACCAAGGACAAGGUCAUGGUAGUGGUUUUGGUGAAG
rnacentral:sRNA from 1 species